CAUUGUAGGCAAUCGUAUAGUAAUCAUGUUUUGAAGGCUCCCGGUACCAAAAUAAAGUAAGAUUAUUUUGUGAACUCAACAAAACGUACCCAUAUUAGGUUGUUAAUAUAAAAAUGGCGGUGUCCUCGUAAUAAUAUCUAAAAUUUGGAUAAAUCAAAUUGAAAAAUUGCGAAAGAUAAGUAAUAUGCAUUAAAGAAUGCAUGAAAGAGGCAUGAAAGAGCAAUUGAAAUAGCAAGUUGUGUUGAUUGCCGGCUUGCCCAAACAUUGAACAAGGAAGUACCGGCUUGGGAGAUGUUCAUUGUUCAUGUGGUAGUGAGAACUUCAAGUUGGGGGAGGCGCCACCAUGUCUACACUUAAAAUAUUCAUAUUUGUAUCAUACAUCUGAAAAUGUAAAUGUAAAAGUAUACAUAAGUACUGCAAGUUUUUAAAUGAUUUAUCAACUCUUUAUUAUGCAAAUACAAUAAUUGAUUUAAAUUUAAAAUAAAAAUAUACCUAAAUACCAUUAAACUAUUAGUGUAGGAAUUAUUCAUUGUGAUGUAAAUACAAAGUUUUUGUUUAUUGCAUUUUAAGUUUUAAAGGCUGGUAUUAUAAAUAAAAAUUUAAUUUUUUUUAA